CUACUGGGGUAUCUAAUCCUGUUUGCUCCCCACGCUUUCGAGCCUCAGCGUCAGUCAUGGACCAGUAAGUCGCCUUCGCCACUGGUGUUCUUCCGAAUAUCUACGAAUUUCACCUCUACACUCGGAGUUCCACUUACCUCUUCCAUACUCAAGGCUGACAGUUUUGAAGGCAAUUCCAGGGUUGAGCCCUGGGCUUUCACCUCCAACUUGUCAACCCGCCUACGCUCCCUUUACGCCCAGUAAUUCCGAGCAACGCUAGCCCCCUUCGUAUUACCGCGGCUGCUGGCAC
rnacentral:rRNA from 1 species